rnacentral:rRNA from 1 species
UACAGCAGUGGCGCACGGGUGAGUAACGCGUGGAUAUCUGCCUUUUGGUUACGGUAAUAACUCCGGGGAAACUGGAGCUAAUACCGGAUGGUUCCUACGGGAUAAAGAUUUAUCGCCAAAAGAUGAGUCCGCGUACGAUUAGCUAGUUGGUGAGGUAAUGGCUCACCAAGGCGACGAUCGUUAGCUGGUCUGAGAGGACGAUCAGCCACACUGGGACUGAGACACGGCCCAGACUCCUACGGGAGGCAGCAGUGGGGAAUAUUGGACAAUGGGGGCAACCCUGAUCCAGCCAUGCCGCGUGAGUGAUGAAGGCCUUCGGGUUGUAAAGCUCUUUUGGCGGGGACGAUGAUGACGGUACCCGCAGAAUAAGCCCCGGCUAACUUCGUG